AGCAUGUGGUUUAAUUCGAAGCAACGCGAAGAACCUUACCAAAUCUUGACAUCCUUUGACAACUCUAGAGAUAGAGCUUUCCCCUUCGGGGGACAAAGUGACAGGUGGUGCAUGGUUGUCGUCAGCUCGUGUCGUGAGAUGUUGGGUUAAGUCCCGCAACGAGCGCAACCCUUAAGCUUAGUUGCCAUCAUUAAGUUGGGCACUCUAAGUUGACUGCCGGUGACAAACCGGAGGAAGGUGGGGAUGACGUCAAAUCAUCAUGCCCCUUAUGAUUUGGGCUACACACGUGCUACAAUGGACAAUACAAAGGGCAGCGAAACCGCGAGGUCAAGCAAAUCCCAUAAAGUUGUUCUCAGUUCGGAUUGUAGUCUGCAACUCGACUACAUGAAGCUGGAAUCGCUAGUAAUCGUAGAUCAGCAUGCUACGGUGAAUACGUUCCCGGGUCUUGUACACACCGCCCGUCACACCACGAGAGUUUGUAACACCCGAAGCCGGUGGAGUAACCUUUUAGGAGCUAGCCGUCGAAGGUGGGACAAAUGAUUGGGGUGAAGUCGUAACAAGGUAGCCGUAUCGGAAGGUGCGGCUGGAUCACCUCCUUU
rnacentral:rRNA from 1 species